rnacentral:rRNA from 1 species
GCAGCAGUGGGGAAUCUUGGGCAAUGGGCGAAAGCCUGACCCAGCGACGCCGCGUUGGGGAUGAAGCCCUUCGGGGCGUAAACCCAUGUUGUAGGGGACGAAGAAAGUGACGGUACCCUACGAGAAAGCCCCGGCCAACUACGUGCCAGCAGCCGCGGUAAAACGUAGGGGGCGAGCGUUGUCCGGAAUUACUGGGCGUAAAGGGCACGCAGGCGGUACGCCAAGUCGGGGGUGUAAAGUUACGGCUCAACCGUGACCUUGCAAUCGAUACUGGCGUACUGGAGUGCGGGAGAGGGAAGUGGAAUUCCCGGUGUAGCGGUGAAAUGCGUAGAUAUCGGGAGGAACGCCAGUGGCGAAGGCGGCUUCCUGGCCCGCGACUGACGCUCAUGUGCGAAAGCCAGGGGAGCGAACCGGAUUAGAUACCCGGGUAGUCCUGGCCGUAAACGAUGGGUGCUAGGUGUAGGCGCGUCAAGCGUCUGUGCCGCAGU